ensembl:lncRNA
UGGGAACCAAGCUCAAAGGAGCACAGGCAAACCUAUUAUAGAGACCGCGAGGGUACCACGUUCCUCCCAGUUCAAAAGCCCAAAUGGGUAGGACCGUGAGGCCUCUGUAAGGUAAAUAAGAGGGAGCCCUCGGAUUCACAUCACGGCCCUCCAUCUUCGGGCCUUGGGACUCAAGCUGGAGUAAGUAAGUGUUUCCAAGGAUUGGGUUGUAGCAGUGAUGGAUGAGAGGCUACCCCAAAUCAAUCCUGUCCACCCUACUUCUCUCCCACGUUCUGCAAAAACGCAUUCUGGCCUGCUUGGGUGGAGAGACCACAAGAUAAGGUUGUAUCAUCACGUAAUAGUUGGAAAGUCGGCUAGCCCCGCCUACCAUGCAUGCGCAUGGGCAUGCGUGUAGCACGAGGGUGGGUUAGGGCAAGAAAGACAUUCAGGGGAGAGACGCAGACGCAUGCAAAUGCACCGGGAGGCGGAGCUAUUUUAAGAGCCUUUAGAUGUGUCUGUGGCCCCGUCCCAAGCUCAUAGCUCUUGGAGCCUCCGCACUGCCUCAGGAACUGUCUUGUGAGGCUGUGCUGUCCUUCAGUCUCUGGCCUGGGAACCGCACCCUGGAACCAUGGAACUACGUCUGUGAAAGUGGCUGGCGUGACACCAUGGAUCCACUACACCCAGAUCAAGAAAACAAAAGCCGUGGAUGCUGCUGCCAAAUGGACUGUCUCUGGACCAUGAGCUCAUUGAAAUCAAGUAAUCGUCGGGGUUCAGGAAUCACCACACAAACCGUACAAACACUGAUCUCAGUUAAGCAAGAAGAGUUUAUUGAAUGCACGCCCCAAGACUGACGGAUCGUGACGACAAGAAGAAUUUGGACGGAUCCACCAGAGAUCCUCCGGAGAGACUGGCAAGAAAUUAGAAAAGCAGGAAGAAGAAAGAUGUAUUCCGCAUAGUUCUGACCUCGGAGGCCAUGGUGGCUGCCCCAUCAGCACUAGGAAUGGGUGUAACUGGGUUUCGGGAGUCCCAGUAGGUCUCCUCUACCUCUGGCAAUCUACCACCAACUGUGAAUGUGCAUCAGAAGUAAAGCAGCUGCUCUAUCCUAC